GAAAAUGUAUUCAGAAUUAUAUUUCAAGUACUGUUUCAAUAUGAAUUGGAAAAGCUGGGUUUUAUUAAAGAGAUAAACAAGAUUUAAAAAAAAAAAACUGCAAUAUGAACAUUAUAUGAGUGUGUGUGUAUUGUAUAUAAAUGCAUUAUUGUGUUCAUACUGAGCAGCACGGUGGUGCAACAAACAUCGCUGCUCCCUCUUAGUGCCUCAGUGAUGUGAAGGAAUGUGUUUGAUUUUGCUGCGCAGCCUGUGUGGAUUUUUACAUGGUCUUCCCAUUUCUGCAUGGGAUUACCUUAUGUUUUCUGAUCUUGUGGUCUUUUCAAGGAUAAAGGAGUAGUCAGACACUCAAGAUUGUUGGAGUCAUCCAAUCAGUUGGAUACACCUGCAAGUCCACCUGAGUAUGGAUGCUGUAACUUAAUUGUGUGUUUUUAAAUAACGUUUCAAGGAAGUUAGCUAAGAAUGAUUGUGUAAAUAGGGUUUUUGCCAGUUUCUGUCGGACUGGGCAUGUAUUACAGCUCCAGUUUUAGAUUACCUGUCUGGGGAGGAGUGACAUGAAAUGGGUGUACAUACCUUUGGCUAGUUAUAUUAUGAAAGACUGUACUUGGGAGGCCAGAGGGAAAAUCUGGAAGGUAAAUUCUCACUCUACCCCACCAACGUCUGCCAUGUUGUAGUCAUCUGAGGGACAGAAAGUUGCUAAAAUACUUCUUGCUAAAAUAGGGCUGAUGUCUACAGUUUCCACGUGGAGACAUUGGAGGGAGACAGAGUAAGUUAAUCUAAGUUACAGUUAUACACUGUCACGCUCAAAAUAGUACAUUACAGUCUCUUUCUUUACCACAGGGCAUGAAGUCCUCUGAGCGCUCUAUUAUUAACAGCAGUUCUGUCCUGGACUCCACAAGUUUUUCCAGAACCACGAAGAAAGUCGCAAGACCUGUGAAGGCCUCUAACCAAUAUGUAAAGAAGCACCUGUUCAGUGACACAGAAACAGAAAACAAAACAGACAUCAGUUGGAUCAGGGAAUCCAGUCGGAAAACAAAGCAAAAAGUUGUUGACUACAGCAGAGAGCAUCCCCAAAAACUGACAUCAGCCUUCAAUACCUCCUAUAAAUCCCCUAACUUGCCCUCACCUUCACCAAUCACACUAGAGAAGCAGACUAAACCAAAGAAGAAGAGGCAGAGGAAGCACAAUCUGAUGGUAGAGAAGACAUCCCCGGUGGUCAGCAGGGCAUCAAGAUGGCCCCAGAGAACAAGUGCCAUGUUCAAGAGCUACAAAGAGCCAUCUGAAUCCGACAGCAUCUCCCAGUCUGAAACUGAGAAGGCAAAGUUGGCCACUGGGAAGACCGAGAAAGAUGUGAAGACUGCUCAGAAGACAAAUGGGAGGAAGAAACCUGCUGCCGCAAAGCUCCAAGCCAGAAGGCAGAAAGAGACCGAGAAAACUUGUUUGACUUCCUUCACUCCCUCACCUCCCCACACUGAAAGAAUGAGAAGUGGAGAGAAGCCUGUGGCAUUACCAAGAUCGUCAAUCAGCCCCAUUCGCUCUCUUUCCUCGUCUCCUGAUUGUAUCUUGUCUCCACCCCUGGAAUUCUCCAAACAACACAAGGAGGGCAAGGCCUCCUCCUACAGGGCCAGUUUAUUCAGUUCCAGUGGAAAGAGCUCACUUCUUCACACUCAUUCUCCUGUGAGCCCAAAGCCUGUCACCCCCUUGCUGCCACGGAGCCGAUCCUUCCAGCUAAAAUCAAAGCUCACAACCCCGGUAAUGAGCCCUUCACAGCCCCUCCUCUCCUCCAUGGUUCCAGAGAGGUCUGUAGGAGAAAACCCAAUGGAUUGCCAAAUCAUGGAUGAGCAACUGCAGAAGACACCUCAUUACUCUAGGCGGAAAGUGGAGGCUGUGUACCUGAAGAUGCACCCCUCUGGUAAGGAGCUUAGCUUGUUCAGCAAAGGGCUUGGUUCCUUCUUGGCUGCACUAACAUGUCCAUACCUCAUUUUAUCCACUGUCUGCCCUGCAGGGCCAUGCUCUACUCUCAAACGCUGUGCUAAACCCAUCAAUUCUAGCACUUCUGAGGAAGAGGACUUGGAAAAAAAAGAGCAAUGCAGUGGUAGGGAGACAAAGCAGAGGGGUUUGCUUAAACCCAGGAAGCUGUUCAAGCCCAGAAGAAACCACUCACACUUGGAUAAAGGUUCGCUCAAGACGGAUGGACCGCUAUGGCAAACAGUCACUGAAGACCGUUCAGCAGCAUCUGUCCUUGAUAAGCAAGCAGAUGCUGCAGUACAGGUGAGCCAUCAUCAGAGACAUAGUAAACAAUGCAUGGAUUCAUAAUUAUAAUAAGCUAAUUUCAUCCGCAGAACUCAGCAACUGGAGAAGGUCAAGAGAGCUCUUUUGGAGGAAAUCAAGGACUUGGAGCAAGAUGACUCCUCCCUGAAGAACAUGGAAGACGAGCUCACUGUAUGUCACUUUGGAUGUUUUUGAUUUCACUAUGUACAGCAGCACUCGAACAGAAACACAGGGCUGUUAAAGAAAAUUCAUACUGAAAUAUGCACACACGCAGUGUGGCAAGA
ensembl:lncRNA